rnacentral:rRNA from 1 species
GAUGAACGCUGGCGGCGUGCCUAACACAUGCAAGUCGAACGGGACUUUACUGAAACCUAGUGAUGUAAAGUUUAGUGGCGGACGGGUGAGUAACGCGUGGAUAACCUGCCGUAUACAGGGGGAUAACACUUAGAAAUAGGUGCUAAUACCGCAUAAGCGCACAGCUUCGCAUGAAGCAGUGUGAAAAACUCCGGUGGUAUACGAUGGAUCCGCGUCUGAUUAGCCAGUUGGCGGGGUAAAGGCCCACCAAAGCGACGAUCAGUAGCCGGCCUGAGAGGGUGGACGGCCACAUUGGGACUGAGACACGGCCCAG